UGGCGGCGUGCCUAACACAUGCAAGUCGAACGGUCCGACGCCUAACACCGAAUGCUUAAGUGCAAUAGCAAGCAACAUAAGCGAGUGCGCGAGCGAAGAGAGCGCACCACGCAAAAAAAGCUUGCCAACACAUGAGUGAGCAUUGGGUGUUAGGCGAAGGAUAGUGGCGAACGGGUGAGUAACGCGUGGGUAACCUGCCCUUAAGACCGGGACAACAGCUGGAAACGGCUGCUAAUACCGGAUGUAUUAUCUGAGAGGCAUCUCUUGGAGAAGAAAGCUGGCCUCUGAAAAUGCUAGCGCUUAGGGAUGGACCCGCGUCUGAUUAGCUAGUUGGUGGGGUAAAGGCCUACCAAGGCGACGAUCAGUAGCCGGCCUGAGAGGGUAAACGGCCACACUGGGACUGAGACACGGCCCAGACUCCUACGGGAGGCAGCAGUGGGGAAUCUUCCGCAAUGGACGAAAGUCUGACGGAGCAACGCCGCGUGUAUGAAGAAGGCCUUCGGGUUGUAAAAUACUGUUGUUAGGGAAGAACGGCAUCUGUGUAAAUAAUGCAGGUGAUUGACGGUACCUAACGAGGAAGCCCCGGCUAACUACGUGCCAGCAGCCGCGGUAAUACGUAGGGGGCAAGCGUUGUCCGGAAUCAUUGGGCGUAAAGGGCGCGUAGGCGGGCUUAUAAGUCUGAUGUGAAAGUG
rnacentral:rRNA from 1 species